rnacentral:tRNA from 1 species
CCUCUGCUAGUCUAGUGGCUGGGAUUCCCGGUUUUCAUCCAGGCUGCCCAGGUUCAAUUCCUGAGCGGAGAA